CGCAGGACACGGAAAUGUGAGGAGAGUGAAGAUACUAGGCUGCAAGAAACAACCCUGCCACGUCAAGAUUGGCUCCAGAGUGACGUUCGAGGCUUCGUUCAUCGCACCGUUCACGACCUCUUCGGCGGUCAACGACAUCGGCGCGUACAUCGAGCGGCACAGAUUUCAGCUCCCAGAGCCGCACGUCGACGCCUGCGCCAGCGGCCACAUCAGCCCUUCGUGUCCCAUGCGUAAGGGCCAAGUGUACUCCUACCGCUACACGUUGCCUGUCCGGGAGAUAUAUCCUGCGACGCCGGCAACUAUUGAGUACAAGCUGGUCACCCAAGAAGGUAAGGUUAUCGGGUGCAGCCAAGUUCCAGUCGUGAUCUUCAGAUGAUUUGGAGCGGUCUCGUCAACUCAUCAGCACAGUCAAGAUUACGCAAUUAUUG